CGGGGGGCAAGCGUUGUUCGGAAUUACUGGGCGUAAAGGGCUCGUAGGCGGCCAACUAAGUCACACGUGAAAUCCCUCGGCUCAACCGGGGAACUGCGUGUGAGACUGGAUGGCUUGAGUUUGGGAGAGGAAUGCGGAAUUCCAGGUGUAGCGGUGAAAUGCGUAGAUAUCUGGAGGAACACCGGUGGCGAAGGCGGCAUUCUGGACCAACAUUGACGCUGAGGAGCGAAAGCCAGGGGAGCAAACGGGAUUAGAUACCCCGGUAGUCCUGGCCCUAAACGAUGAACACUUGGUGUGGCGGGUAUCGAUCCCUGCCGUGCCGAAGCUAACGCAUUAAGUGUUCCGCCUGGGGAGUACGGUCGCAAGGCUG
rnacentral:rRNA from 1 species